GCCACCGUAGCUCAGUGGUAGAGCAGCGCUUUUGUAAAGCGCGGGUCGAAGGUUCAAAUCCUUUCGGUGGCU
rnacentral:tRNA from 1 species